GGCGCUGUAGUGUAGCGGUUAUCACUCGAGAUUCUGAUACCUGCCUUCUCGAAACCCAGGUUCGAUUCCUGGCAGUGCCU
rnacentral:tRNA from 1 species